rnacentral:rRNA from 1 species
UCAGACGAUGCGUCAUGCAUAUCAAUAAGCGGAGGAAAAGAAACUAACAAGGAUUCCCUUAGUAACGGCGAGUGAAGCGGGAAGAGCUCAAAUUUGAAAUCUUCAAGGUUUUACCUUGACGAAUUGUAGUUUAAAGAAGUGUUUUCUGUUACGAUCGUAAUAUAAGUUCUCUGGAAUAGGACAUCACAGAGGGUGAGAAUCCCGUCUAUGAUUGCGAUUUGUAGCUUUGUGAUACACUUUCAAAGAGUCGGGUUGUUUGGGAAUGCAGCCCAAAAUGGGUGGUAAAUUUCUUCUAAGGCUAAAUAUUGGCGAGAGACCGAUAGCGAACAAGUACCGUGAGGGAAAGAUGAAAAGAAUACUUUGAAAAGAGAGUUAAAUAGUACGUGAAAUUGUCAAAAGGGAAGCGUUUAACACCAGUGUUGUUUUCUGAAAAUCAACCUCUGUUAGCUUUAUGCGUGUUUGUUUAGACCUAAUCAGCUAUCUUGCAUGUUCUAUUGUUUGCAGUGGUGCACUUUUCAGUUUACAGGUCAACAUCAGUUUUUUUUACCGUAAAAAAGUUAAAGAAAGGUAGCUCAUGGCUCCGGUCGUGAGUGUUAUAGUCUUUUUCUUAUGCGGUAGGAGAGACUGAGGUCUGCAGUGUAGGCUAUUUGGCUAGAUACUCAGGUGCUAUGUGGAUACCAUUUCAUAAACAACUUGUUGAUUAUGUUUUGUCUAUUGCAUACUCGCUUGUACUAUCAUACCUACGCUUAGGAUGUUGACUGAUAUGUAGUCGUA